AGAAAGGGCACUGACAGGAUAG
rnacentral:miRNA from 1 species